CGGUGGACCUUGAGACGUCCUCGGAUGAGCUGUGGGUAGGAGCGAAAGACUAAUCAAACCCCGUAAUAGCUGGUUCUCUUCGAAAUAUAUUUAGGUAUAGCCUUGUGCGCUUAUCAUUGAGGGUAGAGCACUGAAAAGGUUAGGGUCCACACCAGGAUACCAACCCUUAUCAAACUCCGAAUACCAAUGAGUGUAGCAUGGGAGUCAGACCGUGGGGGAUAAGCUUCAUGGUCGAGAGGGAAAGAGCCCAGACCGUCGAUUAAGGCCCCUAAAUCAUUGCUAAGUGGAAUAAAGGAGGUGAAUUCACGCGGACAAUAGGGAUGUUGGCUUAGAAGCAGCCACCAUUUAAACAGUGCGUAAUAGCUGACCUAUCGAGUGGAUUUGCGCCGAAGAUGAUCGGGACUCAAGUGAUGUGCCGAAAUUGCGGACUUGCGUAAGCAAGUGGUAGAAGAGCGUUCUAACGUGGCUGAAGCCGGAAGGGCAACUGACGGUGGACGCGUUAGAAGUGAGUAUCCAGACAUAAGUAGCGAUAAACACGGUGAGAAUCCGUGUCGCCGUAAGGACAAGGUUUCCUGGGCAAGGGUCGUCCUCCCAGGGUUAGUCGAGAGCUAAGACGAGGCCGAAAAGGAGUAGUCGAUGCACAACAGGUUAAUAUUCCUGUACCACCUUAUAUGCGUUAUCAUCUUCGGAGUGACGGAGAGGGCUAGUCUGGCGCGGUGUCGAAUGUCCGCGUCCAAAUGCCAGGGCUGUUCGGUAGGAAAAUCCGCUGAACAUAAGGCUGAGGCAUGAUGGGACUCUGAGGCUACGGCCAAAGGGGAUCAGAGGAGGUCGUACUUCCAAGAAAAGCUUCGUUGAGAGUAUAUGGGGUGCUCGUACCGCAAACCGACACAGGUGUUCGAGAUGAAUAUUCUAAGGCGCGUGAGUUAAACCUCCCCAAGGAACUCGGCAAAUUUGCCUUGUAUCUUCGGUAGAAGAGGCACCCGCGUAAGCGGGUCACAGUAAAGAGGCCCAACCGACUGUUUAUCAAAAACAUAGCUCUCUGCUAAGUCGAAAGACGAUGUAUAGGGAGUGACACGUGACCAAUGCGGAAAGGUGAAAGCCUGAGGUGCAAGCUUUGGGUCUAAGCCCCCGUGAAUGUCGGCCGUAACUAUAACGGUCCUAAGGUAGCGAAAUUCCUUGUCGGGUAAGUUCCGACCUGCACGAAUCGUGUAACGAGUUGGGCACUGUCUCAGGGAGACGCUCAGCGAAAUUGUAGUCGCGGUCAAGAUGCCGCGUUCCCGCAGCAGGACGGAAAGACCCUAUGGACCUUUACUGUAACCUGGUAUUGUUAUUUGACCUUUACUACGUAGGAUAGGUGGGAGACUUUGAGGCGCUACUUCAGGGUAGUGCGGAGUCAACGGUGAAAUACCACUUUUUAAUCGUUAGGUAUCUAACCUCGACCCAUGAGCUGGGCGGGGAACAGUGCUAGGGGGUCAGUUUGACUGGGGCGGUCUCCUCCUAAAGAAUAACGGAGGAUUACGAAGGUUUCCUCAUAUCGGUUGGCAAUCGAUAGUUGAGCACAUGAGUAGAAGGAAGCUUUACUGUGAGACCUACAAGUCGAGCAGUUGCGAAAGCAGGUUCAAGUGAUCCGGUGGUUGGAAAUGGAACUGCCAUCGCUUAAAGGAUAAAAGGUACCCUAGGGAUAACAGGCUGAUAGCGCCCAAGCGUUCAUAGCGACGGCGCUGUUUGGCACCUCGAUGUCGGCCCGUCACAUCCUGGGGCUGGAGAAGGUCCCAAGGGUUCGGCUGUUCGCCGAUUAAAGUGGCACGCGAGCUGGGUUCAAAACGUCGUGAGACAGUUUGGUUCUCUAUCCGCUGUGGGCGUUGGAAAUUUGAGGGGUUCAUUUCCUAGUACGAGAGGACCGGAAAUGACGAACCGCUGGUAUUCCAGUUAUUGCGUCAGCAGUAGUGCUGGGUAGCUAAGUUCGGACGAGAUAAGCGCUGAAAGCAUCUAAGCGCCAAGCUCUUCCCAAGAUAAGAUUUCCUUGAGGACUUGAUCCUCGAAAGAGUCCUGAUAGACCAUCAGGUUGAUAGGUCGCAUGUGUAAGCGCCGCAAGGUGUUGAGCUAAGCGAUACUAAUGACUCGAAAAUUUUUUCUUU
rnacentral:rRNA from 1 species